GUUACAAGAAGACCUCCUAACUUGUUGUAACAAAUAUCCUAAACUUUUACCUUUUUCAUAAUAAUCUCCCUAUAGAGUCACCGCAUUCGGUGGCUUUUUU
rnacentral:sRNA from 1 species